rnacentral:other from 1 species
AAUUACCUAAUAGAUGUCGAUUUACAUAAAACCGACUAUGUGUGAUGUAAGGGAAUCUAAUUAAAGGAUGGUGUUGAAUGCUAGCUCAAAGAGUUAGAAUCCUAAAGUUCUUUAUGUGAUGCCCACCUGCGAGAAUGCGGGAUUUUAUCACAAUUGAUGUCUAGUAGGUUUUUA